CCAUAAAAGCUUAAGAAAACUUUUAGAAAAAAAUUCCCCCAAUUCCCUGUGAGUGCCCGAUCCUUUUGGCCUUUUGAUCGGGCAGGACCAGGCUGUGGUCCCGUGGACCAUCACGUGCUUUUUCCCCAGGUGUAUAUUGGUUGGGCAAACGAGGCCAGGCAGCAUCGCAAAAAGAAGGAAAAAAAAAAAAGAAAGUGCGAGAGAAAGGAAGAAACGCUAAACAAAUAUUUUGGACGUGGAAUGCCCGUGCGUACAGGAUGGCAAGUGCUGAGUUGCCAUCUUGGCUGCCCACCGUAAUCCCCAAAAUCUUGAGCACGUGCAAGAACCAUGGUGGUUGUGCGUGAUUACCGAAAACAACCAAAUUUCUUUCCCUCCCUUGAGCUAAACCAUCACCUAUCAGGCUUCUCUUCUUCUCCUUCUCUCUCCCUCUCCUUGCCUUCACUGUCGCUGGCACCCGUGACCAGGCCUCACCAGCACCUAUGAUCGAGUCGCUAACCAAAGACCUUCCACCUCUUUUGUUUCAAAGGUGUUGUCGAUUUGUUGAAUCGAACAUAGCAAUCUUUGGGCACACCAAGCCUGCUGGGAGCACAAAGGGAUAAUUGAGGUUUGGAGGUUGAAAUAAGAAGCUCGGAAAUAUUUUAGUAGAAAUCAAGUUGGUUAAUAUUUUUGAUGAAUUAUGAAUUUAUUUGAUAUUGAAUUUAGAAGCUUUGUACCUAUAUCUUCGUUAUUUAAUGGAGAAAUUUUUGGACCUCUCCUAUUAUGUACUUUUUGAUUGUGAAUUUUUAUGCAAAUCAUCUUUUGGGCUUUGUGUUAUUGUGAGUGUUACCCCGCGGUAGCACGGCCACAUCAUAUUCCGGAUUUGGGGCAUGACAUUCCUAGCUAGUGAGAAUUGAAUUUUUCCAUAUCCCACAUGAGUUUUUCUUUUUCAUGAAAUGUAUGAAUCUUAUUCCUCUGAAAAAAGCUACUUUUUCAUCUCUCUCCUUUGAAAAUUCCAUCCAAACAUAAGGCAUUUCUACAUUUUUUCGUUGACCACACCUUCGUCCCUCCUCUUCCCGCAAUCCAAACGAGUCCUAAAUUCAAAAACUAAUCAUGAAAUGUCAUUCUUUCAUCUUCAUACAUACAUUUGCUGCCUUGUUUCCAAGCAUUUAGAUGUUUCUCUUCUCAAAACCUCAAAGGCGUGUUGAAUAUUAAAUUCCAAAAAUAUAACAGAAUUAUAGCAGCUUUAUGGACAUGCUUGCUACUUUCUCUCAAGAUAUUCAAUGAUUUCACUUUACAAAACCCAGCAAGCCAAUCAGACAAGUCAUUCAACAAAUAGUCACUAGGAAGCCAUAGGUCAACCAGGUUAAAGUUCAACAUAAUGAAAUAAAUUAGAGUUUCAAAAAUUUCAGAGUUUUUCAGUCUACAUGGAAGAUAUCUCCAACUCAUAUUUAGUAAGAUGGAAUAAACUUUGAAAAUAGGCCUCGGAAUAUCUAAGUAAACAUUAUCGCGCAUUCAUAAAUGAGAAAGGGAAAAGAGCAAUUAAAGAAAAUCAUAGCUAUCACAGAGGUACUUGUCCACCCUAAGACAUGAAAAACACAUACUCCUAAUAUGCACCCACUGCAUGACAAUCAUCUUGGCGGCAAUCCUACCAAGAACACUAGUAGAUAUGUCCUCUUUUCCCCUUGUCAUCAACAUAUCAUGAAACAGUUUUAUGAACAUGGUGACAUAAGCAAGCUUCUGACUUAAGCAUCACGUUGCAGCUACUUCAUUCUUUUCGAUGCAUGCCUAAUUCAGCUUAAUAUCUGUAAAUAUGGUUGAAAGGGGUCAUCCAGCACUUCUAUAAUAACUGAAUGGAUGUUUAGAAUAAAGGUAAAGCUCAAGUACAUCGGUAAUAAUUGAAAAAAGGUUUAAGCUUCCAAGGCAAAGAUAACAAUGGGGAAAGACUCAAAAGAAACAACCGUUUAGGAUAAUAGAAAGACUGGCAGAUAUCCACAAUUACAAUCUGAGACUGCAGAUCUACUGGAAGGUGGUAGAACUACUAUUUAUGUUCUUAAGAGCAUGAACAAGAUGGAGGAUAAGAUUUGUGAAGGAAGAACUGGGUGAUAUCUUGUCAUGAACAAAAUUAAGCUUCCAAAUUCUACAUAUAUUGAAUGGCUUGAUAAGUUCCAUCUGCAACAUCCAAAUUCCACCAUUUUUAAUUUGACAACCCUUAGCCACAAUCCUACCAUCCCCUCAAAAAAAGGAUUUAUUUUUUUUUAAAAAAACACCAGUAUCCAUGUUGUUAUCACUACAUUCCAAACACAAAUUUCUGGCUCACUUGCAUUGUUAAAUGUAAAUAGUUGAACUUGAUGCAAUGCAAACCUAAUUCAGAUAUCUCAGUGCAAAAACUAGUAAUGCACAUACAUCCAGGUAAAGAUCACUCUCCAUACAUAUUCAUUUCCUUGUACAGCAUGUUUGUGUACCUCUAGAUACCAGAAUAAUUUUCAACUACAAUUUAUAUAUCGCCAAGCGGACUAAAGGGGGAAGGCAUGGUAAAGAGGGAAUGCCCAAGUACAACAAAGAAGACUACCCGGCCUCUGAAUUUUUUUCUCUCUGUAGGGCACCAUUCCCCUUUUGCUUCCCGGAAAGAGUUCUUGUUAUUUUUGAUACAAGAUUUUCCGAGAUGGAAAAAAGAAGCACAAGUUAAAAUCUGAAGAAAUUGCAUUUUUCCAAUGCAAAUUUUCUAGCCACAUAAAUAACAAAUAGCAAGGUGAAAUUUUCUAAUGGGGCAUGCAUGAAGCACCAUUCCUUUCCGGGGUGAUCUCGUGGUAUAUCCUUCCUUAGCAUUGUUACAGGCCCUUAAUAUCAUUAUCUCAAACAUAUUCUUAAUCACUGAAAUUCACCACCCUACCACUAAUGCCAUGCUAACACACUUUAACCUAAUGCAGUCCAAAAUUCUAAUUUUAGUUUCCUCACUUCGCCUAAUAACCUUUUAUACGCUACAAUUUCUCUCCAAACUAACUGCACCUAAUGCGAGUCAAUAUCUAAAUUUCUUUCUCUGUCAGAUCUAGUAACCUUCUCUUAAACCAACCUGUCAUGAGAACAUUUUACAAUAAAAGAACACUCUUUCCACCAAAAGCAAGACAAGAGAGAAAUUGCACACAAUAGUUAGUCAUGUUUUAAGGGGGAAAAACAAAUUCCAAAUUAUCAGAGCACAAGGUACUCAGCAUCAAGCAAUGCAAAGGGAAAGCAUCACAAUCCGCACCUCU